GCCUCCCGCCCGCCCUCCCUCCACGCCCAUCUCCCCUCCCCUCUUGAUUCGGUGAGCCCGGGAGGAGGGAGGUCUCGUAAUUUGGGUUACUGUGUAGGUGGCCUCUUUCAUCUAUUCAUAACAAAGCUGAGCCGCCUGCCGCGGCCGCCGCGGCUGCCACCAUCGCCCCUGGCUCGCCCCGGGUUCCCUCUGCGCGCUAACCGCGCUUCGAGCUGCCUCCCGCGCCCGCCAGCCCGCGGGGCUGCUCCAACGCCCGGGUUUUGUUUACGAGAGCAGCCGCGGGCAAACGCGAGGCGCGCAGAGCCGGGACCCGGGUUCGAAGGGGUUGCAGCCGAGGCCCAGGGCUCCAAGCCCCUGGGAGGCUGCGAGGGCGGCUGACAGGUGCGAAGCGCUGGGAGGGAGGCUCUGGAGAUGCUCCGGGCUGCUGGAACCAAGCGGGAGGCAGCUGGGGGGACCAAGGAGUCCCUGUGGCAGGAGGUGGGUCUCCCCGGGUCAGAGCGAGGUGGGAGAAAGGCGCCACGAGCUCGUUGUGGACAAUCCCUCGGGCCACAGCUCUCAUAUUUGAAAAGGCUCCCUAGUCUCCCUUGGCAACGGAGUCCCAGGCUCUCAGACCCAGCACUUAGAAAGUUCUGCUCACUAUCUAACCCUAAUGACAAUAGCCAACAUUUAUUGAGCACUUGCUACGUUCUGGGAGUAGUUCUAAAUGCACCAUGUCAAUUUUGAUUCACUAAAUGCUCAAGACAACGGUAUUAAUUAGUGACUGUUACCAAUCCCCACUCGGCUUUUGAGAAUGGUAUCGGAGAAGCUAUGGAACCCGCCAGGGUACAACUGUUGGCAAAUAGCCCAGCGGAGAUUCGAAUCCACACCUCACCCCAGGGUCACUUACGUGGGUCUUGCUAGUCCAGUGCCACCUGUGACCACUAAAACACUCCCCAGAGAAUGGAGGCCAAACUACAGUGUGCUCAGCCAGCGCUCCCUUCUGAGUCCUGGUGCUCUCGUGUUCCCAGAGGUUCUCCUCCGCCACCGUUUCCAACUUUUUCCCUUUAGAGGCCCUCCUACCCUCACCCCCCUCCCUCCGAGGUCUCAGCACCUCACCAGGGAGCAACUGUCAGCUAGGUUGUUCCCCUAAGCCACUGAGGAUUUCCGCAACAGAAAAUCACAAUGCUCUGGAGGCAGGCAGAUCACGUUUUUCUCAGAAGUGGGCUUCCCAGAGGCCUCCAACUCUGUGGUGAAUGGAGAGGGGCCUAAAGACUGUUCUGAGUCCUUGGGAAAAGAUCUGCAUUCCUCCCUAGAUCUUUCCCGCAUCCCGGACCACAACUGGUUACUAUGUGUUAUUCCUUUCUUAUCUCCAAAUGAGCCUAGUUCUGGAUGGAAUCUGUUUGUUUGUUUUUUUCUGGGGGGUGGGGGGCAGAGACUGGAUAAGCUUCCCCAAAGGCCAAAGCUUGCCGAGCCAGGCAUCUGCUGCAGGUUUUACACUUCCACAGAACUGCUUUGGGCUCUCCCCCAGUGCUGAAAGAGGAGGGUGGGAAAGGCAGAAGGGAGGAGAAUGGGAACGAGCAAGAAGCUAGAAAGUCUAAUCUAGAUGUGCAGCUGAAUUUAUUGGGGGCGGGUGUAGCUCAGUGGUGGACAGUUUGAGCCAGGCCUUGACUUCCAUUUCUCCUGAUGUGUGUACACACACACACACACCUCAUUCCUUCAGCAGUGGCUUUUAAAAGCUGGGGUCAGGGGUCAUCUUUCCAUGUGCAAGCUCAUCUUUGGGGACUGGCUAUCACUGUUUCUGUCUGCCGAUGGGCAGUGCCAGUGCUCUCAGAUAUUGGAGGUCAUCCCUUCCGUACUGACAGAGAGUAGAGAAAAGAAAGGGGAUAUGUGCGUAUGUGGGGGCCUAGGUUAAUACUGGUAUGGAUCUCUUAAGCGAAGCAAAUCAGAUGGCUUGUUCAAAAAAUAAAUAAAUAAAUCAGGCUCUCUUCCCCCAUUCUUCACCACCUGGAAUAUUUUAAGAAUUGUUGCAUUGCUGAAAUCAGAAAACAACCACCACAACAAAAUAACCCUCUCGCAACAUGUGCUGACUGCUUUCCAACAUUGUAGGGCACUUAUGCAUCAGUCUCCCUACAGCUGCACUGUGAAUGAUGCAACAGGAUGGUUCUAGUAGCUUCACAAAUAGGCUGUGGCUGUGCGUUGGGCUGAAAAGCAGCAUUCAAUUCCAUUUUGGAGAUAGUUUUACUUCACUGGUAACCAAGCCAUUUCCCUAAAUCCUGCGGAGUUGCUACAAUCAGUUGCAGACCAUCUUGGAAGCUAUUUGGAUUAAACAUACUCCAUGGCACGGCAUUUUGAUCACUGCUCAAUUCUUCGCUGCUGCAUUUUGAAAAGGAAACGACAGCCUACAAAAAUUACCAGCAAGGAGUAGGAAAGGCUCUGGUGGUUCCCGUGUCUCCUUAUUUUGCUGAAGCCAUAAGCCCUGCUCCUGUAGGGCAGGCUUUCUUUUCCCUCCUGCUUAAUUGUAUGCAGACUCCUAUAGCGUAAGAAACCAGAACCCAUGCUAACUUUUUGGCAUAAAAAAAUGCAGGCGAUUAGGAAACCUGGAAGCACACUCUUUGCUGAUCUUACCCCAUUUUUAGCAAAUGCCUUGCCCCUUCCCAAUUUUCUCCAGUACUAAAGCUCCACCUUCAGGACACACUUUCACAUUUGAGAAGUGUGGAAAAUAUGAGCAAACCUAAAUAAAUAUUUAGGCAUGGGGUCUAUAUCUGCUUGAUGGCUUCCUCUCAGACACACCCAUCUGGCCUGAGGGUAGGCAGCCCAUGACGAAGCUUCCCUCACCAACUGGCCUGAGCCCAUCUUGUUGGGUGUCCCUUAUGGCACAUUUUGGAACUUCUUGUAACACAAAUGGCUGAAACCCAAACAAAAGAAGGUGGUACAGACAGACCUGCUACCACGGAAACGGGCCUCUCAGACGGGUUCUGAGCAGUUGUAUGCACAGUCUUUGCUAGCUGGGAAAGUCUUCAUAAUGAGAAAAUAUCCACUCCCUCGGGCACUGGCGACAAUCUGGGUUAACAGAGCCAUCUACAAUCAGACUCAUUUCUGCUGGACAGAGCUCUAUAGAGUCUGCGGUUUCCUGCCGAGACUUGAAACAUUAAGAACCGCUCAGUAGGCAAUUGGUCAUAGUCACAAGAUGGUUAUCAUUCACACUUCACUUUUCUCUUUGCCUUUUAUUUUUUAUUACAAUUUUCUAAAAUCUGGCUGUGGUUCAGAGGGCUGGUUGGGUUGACGAGAGCCAGAAGCAACUGAGAAUGUUAGUUCUGGUGGCCCACAGGUUCUUUACACAGCCUUUCCGUGAACUACAACACCCAGCUCAGAAUCUGAACAAUGCCAUGCAAAAAUGCAUCUGUUUCGGCCUUCUUGAAUUUCACAUGGGCCACUUUUUUCUCCACAAUUCUGUUCAUAUCGAAGCGGUCUUCACGCUGAAGACCUUAUCAAAGUUCCUGGCCUCGUUUGGUGACUGACAAAAAAAAAAAAAAAAAGAGCCAGCUUCCUUCCUGGGCUGCUGAUUAGCAAGAGUUGAAAGCACAUUACAGGAGAUAUUGUUUUAUAGUUUGGGUUGACACAGGGAGGUAAGCUGAACAGAGUUUAACCCGUAUGAAAAGUCAGUCAAAUACAGCACAGUUAAGAUGUGGCUAAGGGAGCUGGCUGUGACAUCUGUCACCUCAUCAAUUGCCAGAGUUGACUAGGCUGAUCUGACUGGCCAGGUGGGUGUUCCCUUCUCCCAGCCCUCUAUUUUCAUCCCUCUCAUUGCCACACGUGCUCCAGAGACAAAGACCAUCGCUCCAGGGUCACUGUGCUCAGAUGCUGUAGCCUUCAAACAAAUUCUCAAGAUGUGGCCGAGGGAGUCCGGGGCCUGGCCCUGUCUGUUACUCAACAUGGCCUUGGAUGGAGGAGAGUACUCUUCUGUGCUCGGUGAUAGCACCCAGCUGUUGGUUCCUGUAAGAAGGCUGGGCGGUGUGGGGCAGUGUGGGCUCACCUCCAACGUUCCAGCUGUCAUCUUUCUCACGUCACGACUUAGCAGUUACAAAUCACGUUCCUGAAGAGGAGCAGUUAUAGAUGAAAGAACACAAUGGGACAUUCAAAGCCGCUAUCCUUUGAUUAGAGUCCCAAAGCUGACUUUCUUUAAGCUGUAGAAGGGCCUUCCCUACACUAAGGGCCUACGGAAAGAGUGAAAAAUGUCGAAUCUUACUCGGAGGCAGUAGGGUCCCUGAUCCCACCCUGGCGCGCGGUUAGAGUUGCUCUGCUGGUUAAAGUUUUGUCAACUUGACACAAACUGGAAUCCCUGGGAGGGUGGAAUUGCAAUCGAGAAAUUGCCUCCAUCAGAUUGAUCUGACGGCAAAUCUGUUCAGCAUUUUCUUGAUUAAAUGAUUAUGUAGGAAGGCCCAGCCCACUGUGGGUGGGACCACGCAUGGGCAAAGGGUUCUGAGUUGUAUAAGCAAGCCCUGGCGAGCAACCCAGUAGGCGAUGUUCCACUAUGGUCUCUGCUGACCUAACUUCUCCUCACGCUGGACCGUAAGCUGUGUGAUGAAAUCAACUCUUUCCUCCCCAAGCUGCUUUUGGUCAUGGUAGUGAUCACAGCAGUACAAAGCAAACUAGGACACGCACAUACUCGGUAGCAUGAAGUUUCUUCAAACAUUCCCUACACCUGCCCAUGAUGAGGACUCUCUAAGGCCACUGUGAUUGAUGGAAGAACACAGUUAAGUCAUCAGCAGCCACGGAGUUUUCUAGAUCUGCAGGAAGUAGGCAAACUCCUCAGCUAACUACGUCUUCAGGUUUGGGACACUUCUGUGACUUGGGCGGUCUCUUAAAAAUUAUGCUCUUCUUGGAUUCUUGGAUUUGUUUUUGAAAUGUGUGGCUAUCCUUGCUUGCAUUUUUCUCAUUGUUGCUUUGAAAUGAAGCACCAAAAGGUUAUCAAGAGUAGAUACAAAAUACCGAUCCAUCUUAAAAAAAAAAAAAAAAAAUCCUUCCCGUCGUCUCUACUCCGCCAUUAUGUCUCAAAGACUUGCGUUAUCCUGGGGCCCGGAGUCCCUUGAUAACUGGUGGCUUGGCACAAACUCAUUCAAAGAGAAGAGCUGCCAUAACGCAGGCCUCCAUAUUAAUAAUAACUCAAGCUCUUAAAAUGAAUAGCAGAAGAUAAGAUUAACAGGCAGAUAACGCCACAGUCACUCAUACUUCCGCUUCCUUGAGAUUCUGGUGGGGAGAUGUUCGCAGCUGACAAUGAAGUGGCUGGACUUCUCGGGGAGCAGUCUGGCGCUCGCUCUCUGCAGCAGAGCUUCCCUCCUACAAAAUACCCGCUACUGAGCCUGGGAGGAAGCAAUUGGAAUGAGUUCUGAGCCUGGGCAGAGGCUGGGCCUGUGGUCUUGGGGAAGUGCGUGGGGGAUGCACUUGUCCUCGUGCAUGCUGGGAAAAGAUUGAGGACCAGCAUUUCUGACACUAACGGCCUCAGGCACAGAAUCGCAAACGUAAAAACUGAACAGUUUUCUUGCCCUUCUGCCCCUUUCGUCAUUUUCCCCUUCUUAAUGUGUGUGUGUGUGUGUGUGUGUGUGUGUGUGUGUGUGGUAGGGGUGGAUGUGCCUAUGCAUAUGAAGGUCAGAGGUCAAUGUUGGUGCCUUCCUCCAUCUACUCUCCACUUUGCCUUUUGAGACACAGAACCUGCAGCCCACUGAUCCAGCUACACAGGCUUAUCAGCGGGGCCCCAUAAAUAGAAAUGUGUUUCUAUUUCCGUCCCCGUCGCCAUACACCAUCACAGUCAGUAUUUACACAAGGGUGCUGGGAUCCAAACUUGGGUCCCCAUUUGUACAACAAGUGCUUUCCUGGUUGAGACAUCUUCCAGUCCUUUUCAGAGAGAGAGAGAGAGAGAGAGAGAGAGAGAGAGAGAGAGAUUUGUGUUGCAUUUUAUAAGUGUUUGCCUGUGUGUAUAUAGGUGUACCGUGUGUAUGCCUAGUGCCGGAAGAAGCCAGGAGAGGGCACUGGGUCCCUUGGAACUGGAGUAACAUAUAGUUGUGAGCCACUCUGUAGGCUCUGGGAACCUUGGUCUUCUGCAAGACCAGCCAUCUUUUCAAUGGCCUCACGCCCCACUUUUUAAGACAGCAUCUUGCUGUAUAACCUAGGCUAGCCUUGAACUAGAAAGCCUUCUCUGCCUUAACCGCUCUAAUAUUAAGAUUACAGGCACGUGCCACCAUGCCUGGCUCCUUUGAAGAGAUGGGAAAAAGCUAUUCCUAAUUACUGUCUACAACUCGGUGAGUUUGCAGGUCAGGGUACCUCCUGGAACCCCAUCUAUUCCUCCCUUCUCCCAUCCUUCCUGCUUAUCCCUUCUUGCCCAUUCCCAGGCUUCCAUUCUCCCUGUUAUUCCCACCUUUCCCCUCCUGUUCUGUACCAGAAGUCUGCAUCUAUGGGCGUAGUGUUCACCUUUUGGCUUCUGGCUGGAUUCAGCCACUGGGGGGCCCUGUGGGAGACCCUGGAAUGGAGAACUGGGGUGGAGCUCAGGGAGUUAGUCCCCAGUAUCCUCUCUGAUACUCUGUGUCCUAGCUGUGACCAUGUCCUCUCAGAGGCUACUGGUUCCACGGAUGUCCUCUUGAAAGCUACAGGCUCUCAGACCAUAGGCGCCCUGGUUUCCUCAGUACCCCUCACCCUGCUCCCUACGCCUGCGGCAUGCAGUGCCUCCUGUGGAUACUGGCCUUAGCAUGUCCCCCUUUACCCUGCCCAUGCCCCAGCCACCAUCGCCUUCUUGACACUUCUGUUCCUGUCACUUGCUCCCUGCCAAAAUAUAACCAUCAACUCAACCCAUUUCAAAGGAGGACCCAGAAGAGGUAUGGGAUGGCACUCCAGAGACAUUUGGCUUGGCUAUGGUGGCCUGCAUGAGAGCGUAGGCAAAGUGCACCAUCAUCUCCAUUUCCAAAGGAAAUCUCCUUAACCAGGAGGCUAAACAACUCCAAGCAUCUUCAGGAAGUCCCUGAAACUGACUAGAUUCACUAAGUCCCUCCACACCAGAGAAAGCAGUAACAGCUGAGAGUCCCCCUCAGACAAGUAGAGAUGAGUUGUGAAGAAGACUCUCAAACAAGCCAGGCUAUAAAGAACAUCCUGAGACCAGACCAGCUGCCUGGGAAAGGCAUGCAUCAUCUAAGCUACCUGGAAGAGGUUUACAACACCUGAGGCACCUGGAAAGGACGUUCUCCAACCUGUUGAGUUGCCUGCAGGCUGUGCAGUGUGCUCCGGGUUCCCAGCUUUGGGAGCUGUCAUCUACGCAGGGCUGGGAUUUGGUGAGGCAGCUGUUUUUGAGUCAUUUCUGCUCCUGUAAGUCCCUCCUCACCUAUACGCCUGCUUUCAAAUGCAGCAUGAAAUUACGGUGAGCCCCAGAACACAGCAGCAGGACGACCGCUCUUUCUACCACCACUCAGUUUCGGCAAGACGCUCCUCAAAUGUCAUUCUCAUCUGGAACUAUUUUGGUGCAAACUGAUA